GUGAAGAAGGCCUUCGGGUUGUAAAGCUCUUUUGUCAGGGAAGAAACGGUGAGAGCUAAUAUCUCCUGCUAAUGACGGUACCUGAAGAAUAAGCACCGGCUAACUACGUGCCAGCAGCCGCGGUAAUACGUAGGGUGCAAGCGUUAAUCGGAAUUACUGGGCGUAAAGCGUGCGCAGGCGGUUUUGUAAGUCUGAUGUGAAAUCCCCGGGCUCAACCUGGGAAUUGCAUUGGAGACUGCAAGGCUAGAAUCUGGCAGAGGGGGGUAGAAUUCCACGUGUAGCAGUGAAAUGCGUAGAUAUGUGGAGGAACACCGAUGGCGAAGGCAGCCCCCUGGGUCAAGAUUGACGCUCAUGCACGAAAGCGUGGGGAGCAAACAGGAUUAGAUACCCUGGUAGUCCACGCCCUAAACGAUGUCUACUAGUUGUCGGGUCUUAAUUGACUUGGUAACGCAGCUAACGCGUG
rnacentral:rRNA from 1 species